GAUGAACGCUGGCGGCGUGCCUAAUACAUGCAAGUCGAGCGAACAGAUGAGGAGCUUGCUCCUCUGACGUUAGCGGCGGACGGGUGAGUAACACGUGGAUAACCUACCUAUAAGACUGGGAUAACUACGGGAAACCGGAGCUAAUACCGGAUAAUAUAUUGAACCGCAUGGUUCAAUAGUGAAAGACGGUUUUGCUGUCACUUAUAGAUGGAUCCGCGCCGCAUUAGCUAGUUGGUAAGGUAACGGCUUACCAAGGCAACGAUGCGUAGCCGACCUGAGAGGGUGAUCGGCCACACUGGAACUGAGACACGGUCCAGACUCCUACGGGAGGCAGCAGUAGGGAAUCUUCCGCAAUGGGCGAAAGCCUGACGGAGCAACGCCGCGUGAGUGAUGAAGGCCUUCGGAUCGUAAAACUCUGUUAUUAGGGAAGAACAAAUGUGUAAGUAACUAUGCACGUCUUGACGGUACCUAAUCAGAAAGCCACGGCUAACUACGUG
rnacentral:rRNA from 1 species